UACGUAGGCAGCAAGCGUUGUUCGGAUUUACUGGGCGUAAAGGGCGCGUAGGCGGCGCGGUAAGUCACUUGUGAAAUCUCUGAGCUUAACUCAGAACGGCCAAGUGAUACUGCAGUGCUAGAGUGUGGAAGGGGCAAUCGGAAUUCUUGGUGUAGCGGUGAAAUGCGUAGAUAUCAGGAAGAACACCCGUGGCGAAGGCGGUUCUCUGGAAAGAAACUGACGCUGAGACGCGAAAGCGUGGGGAGCAAACAGG
rnacentral:rRNA from 1 species